AACUUGUGACAAUGUAUCUCUUGGUUCUGGCAUCGAUGAAGAACGCAGCGAAAUGCGAUAAGUAGUGUGAAUUGCAGAAUUCAGUGAAUCAUCGAAUCUUUGAACGCACAUUGCGCCCCUUGGUAUCCCGAGGGGCAUGCCUGUUCGAGCGUCAUUUCACCACUCAAGCCUAGCUUGGUGUUGGGCGACGUCCCUUUGGGACGCGCCUCGAAACGCUCGGCGGCGUGGCACCGGCUUUAAGCGUAGCAGAAUCUUUCGCUUUGAAGGUCGGGGCCCCGUCUGCCGGAAGACCUACUCGCAAGGUUGACCUCAAAUCAGGUAGGACUACCCGCUGAACUUAAGCAUAUCAAUAAGCGGAGGCU
rnacentral:misc_RNA from 1 species